CAGGGUGCCUUGACUUGCCCGUGCUCUGUGCAUGGUAAUGCAGAGACUGCUGGGGCCCGUAAAUAGCAGCGUAUGCUGUUCUUCCUUCCCUCCCUCCUUCAGUUGUCCGUGAAAAUGUAAAUAAAUGGAAGGAGGGGAAGGUCGAAGCUCGGUCCCUGUGCAGCCCUGCAACGGCUGGGAGAUGUGCCUGGGUGACCUUCAGCCCCGCUCCUGCUCCAGCCCUGUGAUGGACAGUCUGCAGAGAGCUCGCCGGUGUGAUUAACCGCUUUAACGAGAGCAUCUAGUAAACAUUUUACUGUUUUAGUAAAAGCUUCUCUUUAUUAAAAGCAUCUACAGCCUGGCCCUGACCCUGAUAGGCACAAACAUCCCCGAGAUCAAGAAGUCCUGAGCAUGUGCCUGAUGGCUCCUGGAGCAGGGACAGACUUAAGCCACGGAAACAUCGCUGCCUUGGGAUGCUGUUGGGCAGACAAGAUGCAUUACUAACACGAGCUGGCUUUGGCCAGUGUCUUAUCAGGAACAAGAGCGAGAGGUGCCACGCAGACCCGCCGGGGCCCUGCAAGGCGCCGGUGCCCUGCCAGGUUUGGCAGGCAGCAGCCGUGGGAGCUGCUGCAUCACCCACCUGAACCCCGAAACGCUGUUGUGACAUCGUGUCUAUCCAGCAGACUUUGGGGAAGAGGCACAGCUGUGAAGAAAGCAGUCUCUCCCUUCAGAGUUUGGUGGAUGUUUCUCCAACACCCAAAAAUCAACAGAAAAAAACAGAUUUGCAAGAGGAUUUAAGAGGCAUCAAGUUGCCUGGAUACCAGAUCCUGAUCGGCAACGUUUCUGGUUUUCAAAGGCAAACUCCGGCUCCAAAGAAAGGAAUUGCUAAACAUUUAUCACACCUUGCCUGGAGGGGAAAUGACAAAGAGAGCUUGGCACUAGGAGCCUGCCCUCCCCUCUGCCUGCAGGAGCCGGCUACAACGCACAGCCUGCGUGGCACGGCCGUGGGCAGGAGCUCGGCUCUGAGGAACUGCUUGGGAAAGCUGUCCCUAAAUUUUGGGAGCAUUGUGGUGGUGGGAAGCCUGGGGCUGCCCAGGGUACCACCUUCCAGGGGUCCUGGCUUCCCCCUGGGGUGCCAGAGCUGCACUGGGGCAGUCCUGAGAGCAGCGAUGGGGAAGAGGGAGAGGAUGGGCUGUGGGUGGGGGUGGC